rnacentral:rRNA from 1 species
GAUCCUACGGGAGGCAGCAGUGGGGGAUAUUGCACAAUGGGGGAAACCCUGAUGCAGCGACGCCGCGUGUGGGAAGACGGUCCUCUGGAUUGUAAACCACUGUCCCCAGGGACGAAGAUGACGGUACCUGGGGAGGAAGCUCCGGCUAACUACGUGCCAGCAGCCGCGGUAAUACGUAGGGAGCGAGCGUUGUCCGGAAUUACUGGGUGUAAAGGGCGUGUAGCCGGGCUGACAAGUCAGAUGUGAAAUUCCGGGGCUCAACCCCGGACCUGCAUUUGAAACUGUUGGUCUUGAGUAUCGGAGAG